GCAGGCAUCCUGCAGGGCAGAGGCCCGGGAACAAGUACCCAAGCCUCUCUCCUCUUGCAUCUCCCAGUCUGGAUCCAGCCAGAAGCCAGAGGACAAGAGUUUCUACAGCCCAGCCCCCCAGGCCUGGCCAGGAGGACCCUGCACACAGUGUGGAAAGCCCAGAAGAAUCUUGUGAAGACAAAAGUCAGAUCAUGCCCGCACCUCGCUCGCUCAGGUCUCCCCAGCAGGUAAAAAAUUCCAUAAGCGAGAAGAGAACUGACCUAAAGACAGAUUUGAUGAUGUUGUUUUAAGACUCUUCGUUAAGGUGUCUGAAACACUGACGGUGGUACUGAUCUUGGCAAGACACGAUGGCUUCUAAGAAUCUUCAGGACUCGAAAGGAGAUGGAAGCAGAUACACAGGAAACCCAUCAAGUUUUCAAGAGAGCAGAUCGGUGAAAACACCCCACGCCUGAACUUCAAGGGACUGCCGGUGUUCAAAGUGAAAAUAGCCCAGCUUUCUAGGAGCAUGCUGAGAAAACGAUUCUGCACAAAUUGCAGCCAUUUCUGGAGGAACUGGAGGAGUGAUAAAGAGGGGGAGACUCAGGAGACGAGAGGAAGGCCAAGAGCCAAGGAGAGCCCUUGAUUCUCUUCUCUUUAUCAUCCUUCUUUUGGACUUGGGAACUCCUCCCAGGAAGCCCAGCCAGCCCCCAAUCGAGGGCUGCCCUUGCCCCCGGAAGCAGAGGAUAUUGGGAGCAUGAGCCUGGUUGGGCUGUAGGGCGGCUGCUGGGACCUGAGGACUCAUCCUCCUCGGUUUAGUUGGGACCAUCUACUCUGGGAGUCCUGCCCUUCUUCCCCUUGAGACACUGGGUCUCGGGGCUGGGGAUGGGACCGUCUGCCCCUUAGAUGCCUCAUCUGCCCAUGGCCCUGGUUCAGAAGCGUUGUGGACCGAGUCAUGCCUCCCCAGAUGCGUCUGUGGAGGCCCUCACCCCUAACGUGCCUGUGUCUGGAGAUGGAGCCUUUAGGAGAUAGUUAAGGGUAAGUGAGGUCACUCCCCAUGUGUCCACACCAGGGACACACUCCCAUGGAGACCCAGCAAGGAGGUGGCUGCGUGUAAGCUGGGGAGAGAGCCCUGCCCAGAACCCGGCAGUGCUGGUGCCCUGAGCUUGGAGUCCCGGCCUCUAGAUAUAUAAGAAAAUAAACCUCCGUUCCUUAAA